GGGAAGCCGGGCUGUGUCAGGGUGGGGCUGCGGACUCAGCGCUUGGGUCUCGGUGUCCUUUCCUGGAGAAAGAGGCAGGAGCGUGGAGGGAAGGCCCAGGGCCAGGGCUGGAGCGGCGGGUGGGGCCAAGCUUAGGGAAACCGUUCAGGGCACCCCCACUCCCGCGCGCUCCAGUGGUGCCGGCCGAGGGAAGGACUCGCGGCUGCGGGGCUCGCGCCGCUGUCAGUGCGGCGGGGCGCGCGAGCGGCGCGGGCGCAGGGCGGGCUGGGCCGGGAGAAGCUGAGGGGGCGGUAGCGGCGGCGGGGGCGACUCCCGCGCGUGUGCUCAGCUCCUCACGCCGCGGCCGGAGCCGCCUUCUUCCUCCUUCGCUCCCUCCCUUCCGCCCCCGAGUGCGGCGGCACCGCCUCCUUCCGCGCCGCGCGGCUUCCUCCAGACCUCUUGGCGCGGGUGAGCCCUAUUCCCAAAGGCAGCUGGUGCUGACCCUGUAACCCAAAAGAGGAAAUUGAAGGCUGGUGGCCACCAUGUCCUUGAAGAUCCAGACAAGCAACGUAACCAACAAGAAUGACCCCAAGUCUAUCAAUUCUCGAGUCUUCAUCGGAAACCUCAACACAGCUGUGGUGAAGAAGUCAGAUGUAGAGACCAUCUUCUCCAAGUAUGGCCGUGUAGCCGGCUGUUCUGUGCACAAAGGUUAUGCCUUUGUCCAGUAUGCCAAUGAGCGUCAUGCCCGGGCAGCUGUGCUGGGAGAGAAUGGGCGGGUGCUGGCCGGGCAGACCCUGGAUAUCAACAUGGCUGGAGAGCCCAAGCCCAACAGACCCAAGGGACUAAAGAGAGCGGCAUCUGCCAUAUACAGUGGCUACAGCUUUGACUAUGAUUACUACCGGGACGACUUCUACGACAGGCUCUUCGACUAUCGGGGCCGCCUGUCACCUGUGCCAGUGCCCAGGGCAGUCCCUGUGAAGCGACCCCGGGUCACAGUCCCCUUGGUCCGGCGUGUCAAAACCACCAUACCCGUCAAGCUCUUUGCCCGCUCCACAGCCAUUACCACCAGCUCAGCCAAGAUCAAGUUAAAGAGCAGUGAACUGCAGACCAUCAAGACAGAGCUGACGCAGAUCAAGUCCAACAUCGAUGCUCUGCUGGGCCGCUUGGAGCAGAUUGCCGAGGAGCAGAAGGCCAACCCAGAUGGCAAGAAGAAGGGUGACAGCGGCAGUGCCAGUGCCAGUGGCAGUGGUGGGGGCAGUAGUGGUGGCAGCAGCCGGCCACCAGCCCCCCAAGAGGACACGGCUUCUGAGGCAGGCACGCCCCAGGGAGAAGCACAGGCUCGAGACGACGGCGAUGAGGAGGGGCUGCUGACACACAGCGAGGAAGAGCUGCCUGACAGGAGCAACGGCCAGCGGCAGGAGAAGGGCGUGCACUGUAUCAGGCCUCAUGUUGGGCACCCACCCCUGGAUACCACCCCCAGCGGGUCCCAGGAGAGCUGGCAGCAGGCACCUCCUCCCCCACACGUCCCAGCCACUGCCACAUCCUCUGCAGGUGCAGUUAUCGGCCUCCCCUCCCCACGCACCCUCCCUGUUGGCACCGCCCAGGCCAGAGGACAGAGGUUUCCCUAUACUCUACCUCCCCUCCCAGGACACUCCCAGGCUUGGGGUUUUUCUAUAGGUUUGGAGAGGGGAGGGUCACGGGGAGGGUACCCUGACAAUAAAGAGAUUGGAUCCCAACUUGUUCUGAGAUGGGAUGGUUUGUAUUUAUUUUCUUAAGGUACCCUAGUCCUCCUGCCCAGCCAGAGUCUGGUCUAGUCUGCUUCAUGCCAAGAGUCUAGUCUGGUUUGCUUUACCCUGUUCUUUUUCCUCUUUCACUUCUCCCGGUUAGGGAGCAUUGUCUCGGGUGCAUACUGCUGGGCUGUCUAGGCCUUAGUUUCCACAGCUAAAAUGGAAAUAGAAAUGGCCAGUAGGGUUCUUGGGGGAGGGUCAGAUGUCCCAGUGCCCAAGAGAAUACUUUGGUGGCUGAAGUGCCAAGCAAUUAUGAGCUACUUGGUUAGGCAGUGGUAGGUUCAGGUCUUAGCUUCUCAUUUAGUCUGGUCUUUUCCAGCUUUAAGAUGAUUCUGGAAACUGCCUCGUCCUCUCUUCUCUGUCCUAGUUUAGGAUGCUGUGUUUUUUCACUUGGGCUCUGUCCUCUCACCAGCUUCCCAGUCUCUGGCUUCUCCCUGCCCCAUUUCCCACUAGCCACUAUGGUGCUUUUUCUGAGUCAUGUCCCUUCCCUGUAAAACCCUUACCUGACAGCUCACCGUUGGGACAAAACUCCCAACUCCUGUACAUGAUCCUGUAUACUUUGGCCUCUCCUGUCUUUUGUCACCUGCCCCACACAAAACAAGUCCUUCCCUCUCAUAGGCAGCAAGUCAUAGAGCCUCACUCCCAUUAACCUCAAGCAUUAGGAAGUUGGCAUCAGGAUACCUGUGGCUUCCCUGUACCUAUUCUGGGCUGCCUGUCUAGAUGUUUGCUUUGUUCUCUGACAACUGACAGUGUUCCUUCAAAUUUCCUCUUCUGUCCUAAUUUUACUCCACAAGUUGACGAAUUUCCCUGCGUUCAAAUUCCUAGGAGAGGAUCACCUGCCACAGCGGAUCUUUUUGAUUCACUCAUAGGUUAUAUAAGUACCCUCCCCAGUCCUGUGAACCUGGUGACAAAGGUGUGGUCAGUUAGUCUGGACUCUCUGGUGUGGGGCUUUGGUGGGCAGACACCCAGAAACGUGCUUUGCUCCUGGUCUGGCACGUACUCUUGCUCCUUUCUCCAUCUGAGAGAUACCCACUCAUUAUUAAGCUGCUGUUCCAGUGUCAGGCACCUCUGAGAAGUCUUUCUUCUCAGCUUACUGCUCUUCAAAAAUUGUUCAUUCUCUCUUCUAGACAAACUUUCCCAACACCGAGAAUUCGGUCCCAUCAUCAGAAAGGGGUUUGGGCUCUCCAGUCGUCUUUGCAUGUUCCUCAGAGUGUCGGGCCUGCUGGAAUUCUUGUUGAAAAUCCAAUUUCAGACCAACUGUUCUACAACAGUCUCCAUCAAACUUUCCCCAGACUUUGGCCCCGGGUUUUGGUGGAGGCUAGAGGCUGGGCUCGAGACAGUGUUCAAGCUAGGCCACCCUGGGUGUGGAAUCACCCAGGGAAGUUUUUGUUGUCUCGUGUCUGCCUCCCUGGGCAGCCCCUCCUGCCUGUCAUUGGCCGGCUAGCAGUCUGAAGCCUGAGUGUGGCUCUGCAUUCCCAAGCUGUGCAGGGGCCUGAUUAACCCGCCCUUGAGGCAGCCCAAGUUCUGGACCCACAGCUGAGCCCCCAUCCUCGCUUAGCCAUUGCCUCAUAAUGUGAUGUGGAGCAAAGUUUCUGCCUUUUUGGCGCUUCAGCUCCACAGGUGGGCUCACAGUCCCCAUAUGUGUGCCUGUCAGGGACCCUGGGCAGCAGGGGGAGAGAGGGUAGAGGCUGAGGCCUUAGUGGACUUAACACUGAGGGCUGGCACCAUGUUCCUGAGUCUCCAGAGCCUAGUGCUCUGUGCCCCUUGCACUGUAAUAACAUUUUCGGAUUCUAUAUGGCCAUAAUAGUGACCGAGGCACUCACUUUUCAGGUUUGGGGUCAAGUAGAAUAGGAGGGGCUGUGAGCUUCUGUAGUAUGCUAGGCAGAAGAGCAGGGAAAAUCCCUUCCAGGGCAGGAAAUGUCUGCCCUACAAGGAGGCCCUGCCUAAUCACCCUAGCACCAGGACGUCCUGGACAGAUGGAGAUCCCCACCCUGGCAUCCCACAAAAGGCCCUAAACUACUUAGCCCCUGGGAAGAUUUGAGUGGGAAAUUCACAUCCACAAAACCCUGCUGCAUACAUCUGCCCAGUCCUCUCUCAUUCCGUUGCUCAUCGGUUUUCAUUUAUCUGUUCAACCUCUGAAAAUCAAAAGGAGAUGAUGAAGAAAUAGGAUACCAGAUUCUACCCAAAGGGCUAUGAUUCCAUAGAUAUUUUGAAGAUCUGAAGCCUCAUUUGUGAUCUUGGCAGCUGUUGAAGGAAUUAUCACAACCAGUGGUUUUAUUGGCUUUUCUCCCUGUACUGCUGCCAAUAGUUUGUGAUGCAGGGCGAGUCUUAUUCCUUGCUAGGUCUCCUGUUUCCUCAUCUGUGCAAGGGGUUGGCCUAGAUCAGCGAUAGUAAAUGGGCCUCUUAUCAUCAGUUAACUUGUAUAACAAGCCCAAAAUGUAGUACUUUUAAUAAACAUUUAUUACCUUCUGAUUCAGUGGCUUGGAAAUUUGGGCUGCACUCAGCUGGGCAGUUCUCCUUAUCUCAUCUGGGCUAUGAUAUGGCUGAAGUGAGCUGGCAGAUUGGCUGGGGGGCCAUGGGUCCCAGAUAAUCUCACCCACUUGUUAAGGAGUUGGCUGGGCAGCAGGGCAAGUGGGCCACAUGUACCCAGAAUCUAGCAGGCAGACCAGGUAAGCUCCAGUGUACAAGUGCUCUUCCAAGUUCUUGCCCAUGGCAUGUUUGCGAGGUUCUUUUGGUCAAAGCAAGUCAUAUGGCUAAGUCCAAACUCUUAAUUUGAGGAGUCUCAAAAUAUGGCCCAAUUUUGUUUUUAAUCUCUCUCAGGCCUCGUUUCAUGUGCUGACUCAGAAUGUUUUUAGUAGCAGCUGCUGGAAUGCUUUUUGAGGAUUUGGAGCAGUUUUUAGAUAGCUAGGAAAUAGUAACAUGAUGAUUUGGGUUGUUUUUUUUUUUUGUUUUUUGCUUUUUUUUAUGGAUGAGGAGUUGAAAUGAGAGUACAUGAGUGUCCAUUCAGUAUUAGCCAGGCCUGGCCAGGUCAUCUCUAAUCCUAUCAGGACAUUAUACACUCUACAGUGGACCAUCUGACAAGACCACAGAAAUACGGAGUAUAAAGCUGGGCAAGAUUCUGAUCUAGGUUUCCUGGGUUUGAAUUCCAGUUCGACCAUUGAUUAACUUUGGGCAAAUAAAAAUCCCUAUAGCCAUGGCCACAUUCUUUAUAAUAAGAUUAUUCUAUAAUAACAGUAAAUAAAACUUGUGAAUAUGUGCUGUGUAAAAGGCACAUUUUACAUUUAUUUAAUCUCUAUAACCACCUUUUAGGUGGAUGUAAUAUGAACUUUCUGUUACAAGUUGUAGAAACUGGACUCAAAUGUGCUUAAGCAGGGGGAAGUUUACUGUUUCACCAAUUUAAAGUUCCAGAUACAGUUAUGCAGACCCAGUGGAUGCAGGGCUUCAAGAGUUGUCAUCAGGAAUGUAUUUCUUUAUUCUUCAGCUUGGUCUCCUCUCUUAGCAUUGUUCUCAGGUUCUAAGUGAUGGCAGAGCAUGGCCACAGGGCCUAUGAGUGUGGACAGGGAAAGGGAAGAAUCCCCAAAAGGAAAAUAGGAGUUCUGCUGCUAGAAGAAGGGAAGUUUGGCAUGACAAAAAUAACAGGUCUUCAUUGUGCAGUUAUGUCCAUCUUACAGAUUUUAUAGAUGCGGAGGUUCUAAAACUUAGCCCCAUUGACAGCUGGUAUUUCUGUCCUCUCCCCUUUAUCUGGACCCUAAUCAGUAGGAUACAGUGAUGGUGAUGCUAGGCCAGUCUCACAGUUGUGUUAAGAACUAGUAGUUUCUACUUCUGUGUCUUGAGACCCGGCCACCAUGCUGUGAAGCCCAGGCCACAUGGAGAAGCCUGACAUGACAGCCCUAAGUUCCAGCUGAUAACCAGUAUCAGCUGUCAGACAUGAAUGAGGAAGCCUUCAGGAUGACUCCAGCCCAGCCACUGACUGAGAACCAAGACAGAACUGCCUAGCUGAGGCCUGUCAAAGUCCAGCACCAUGAAGGAUAAUAAUCAGUGAUCAUCAUUUUAAGCUAAGUUUUAGAGUGAUUUGUUAUAUAUCAGUAGAUAAUCUGAACACAAACUGAGGCUCAAAAGGUUAAGUAGUUUGCUCUACUUUAGGGGGACUGGGCUAAGAGUAUAGACUUUGUGUAAUUGAGUUCCAGUGCAGGUUAUUUGCUGUAUACCUUAGAUAAGUCAGUGAACCUCUCUGAGCCUCAUCUUCCUCAUCUGAAAAGUGGAAAAGAGCACACUGUUAUUAUGACAAUACCUAAUGAGUUCACUUAUCACCUAAUCCAGAUUUAGGUGAUUUUUCUCUUAAAAAAAAUAACAGACCAUAAUUUUCUUUUCUCUUAUUUUUAUAUUCACCCUUUCCCAAAGUGUAUUUCAGUAUGUAUGUAAUAUUUAAUUUCUAAAUAUUAGAUAUAAAGUUAAACAUUAAAUAGAAUAUUAUAAAAAGGAGACAAAGGAAGAUAAUAACAAGAAGGCUUUUUCCCCCUACAUCUAAAGAGUUACUGCAGUCAAGAGCAGUGUGUCCAUCUGGUCACUAAGCCUGUGGGGCAAGCCCAGCUGGCCCUCCUGCAUGUAUGGAUGGAUGGACACGAUACCUGCUUCCUCUGACUGGAACACUCAAGACACACUUUGGAGAUGGUGGUCUGGUUCCCCUCUCACAACCAAAACGUGGAUCUUGAUCAAAAACCCUCAGUUGCCUUUUGCUUUGUCACCCUACAGAAGGUUCCUUGCUGCUGAGCUGGUUAGCGUGAGGUAAGAGAGAUGAAGUUGAUACUACUGUGAAUGGGUAACUUAGUUUUGAAUGGGUUAAUACAGAGUUAAUCCCAUUUCAAUUCAACAAUCUUAAAAGGUUAGUAUUAGUCCAGGGACUGUUUUGAGAAUGAAGUUAAAAUUGGGUUGAAACUGCAAAUAUAACUGCCCCACAGGUAAAACUGUAAAAUCUUAUCUUCUCUAAGGGGUCCCACUAAAGUAAAUAAAUGAAUUAAACACAUAUAUACACACACAAAAGCAAUGGAGCGCUAAUUACACAAGAGGCACUCAUCCUUGCUUUAUUCACGCAGUAACAUCCGACAUUGGGAACUAUGUGGGCAUAGAUACAAAAUAAGGAAGAUGGCAUCAUAAACAGUUGAGUUCAUCAGGGCAGUGGUGGCAGCUCAGCCAGUGUGUGGUUUCCCUGGGACCUAUUGAGUCGAGGAAAUACUCUCCUCCCUCCACCACUUCAUGGCCAAGAUGUUUUACAACACUUGGCCUGUACUUUAAAGGUCACAGUGAUUAAAAACAUGGGUAAGACAUUCAGGGCUGAGUGACUGCUCCUGGGGCCACUUAGGAGUCUGGCAACAAGAGCGUGAGGAACAGCGAUAUGCCCUUAUCCUCUGAAGUGUGUGCAAGACAGAUCACAGACACGUGAAGGGAUCUUUCUCCCUGUGCUGAAUGGAGAAAUAACCGUUCGGCCAAAUGCUUAGAAGGCGGAACUGGAGGCACCAAAAACACCACACAGGCAGCAUCACCUCUUGGUUUCUCAUGGUCACACCAAAAAGCUACUGUUAAUAUACAAAAUAGAAAAACAUUUGUAGUGGGCCUUUUUCAAACCCAGAACACAAGUUAGGGAGGAAAAAGAAAAGCUUUCCCUAGGGUCAUAGGUCAGACUCAAGUUCUCUGUACAGUACAUGCCACGCUGCUUCCUCACCAAUAGAUUCCCAACUAGGGUUUUUUCUCCAUGUGCCAGUUAUCAUACUUAAAGGCUAGGUUUCUAAGAUCUUCUUAGUGGUCAAUAAGAAAGGGAAUUCUGAGGGGGAGAGUACCUUGCACCUUGUAUUCCUUCAUAUGGUAACAGCAGGAGGAUUUGGCAGUCAGGCGGUAGCAAUAAUCCUCACAUGAGAAGAAUUCAAAUCUAUGAAAUCGUCCCCUGACACUGAAAACAGGCUGUCCUCCCAGAUCUCAUGCUCCAGCCACCCUCUCUCGUGUGAAGCUUUAUCUCCAGAGAAGUUGAGAAGAAAAAUGGCUGCCCAGCUGAAGCACCUACCAAUCUCCAGUUUCACAGGAUGAGACUAUAGAGCCCUCACUGGAGCCCAGGCAUAAACUGUUUUUGCUAAAUUCAUUUUAAGCACAGUUUUUAUAGAAAACUGAAGGACAAACCAAGUUGAAAGAAUCACUGUUAUAAUAACUUUAAUUUAUCUUGCAUUUUACAUAAGUCUAUGAACGAUUUUAAAAAAGCACCGCCUUACCCCAUCAUGUUUUUCUGACAGUUGUUAAAGUAGGCAAUGAGUAGGUCAACAGCUUGAGCAUCGGCAUCUUGCAAAGAUUUCAGACCAACCAGCCACAAGCCAAAAAACUUGGCAGCUUUUCUAUCUUGUAUUUAAUACAAUGAUAUAUCCACUUUGAUGGUAAACCUGUCCAGCCAAAUCUCCACAACACACUUGGAAAAUCAGUGGUGGUUAGCCAAUUAGUUAGCUUUGGCACGGAGCUGUGCUCGCUUGCCUGUGACAGCCUGGAAGCCGGUCUUGAUGCUGGCAACAGAGCAUCGAGAAUGACAAGUUUCGCACUGUAAGAAAUAGAGUCGGGUGUCCUUUUGCAGGAUUGUGUCCGGUGAUCGGCAUGUGUGACAGGUAACGUAUUCCUCUGCAGAAAAAGCAACAGACAGAAUUACCUGUUGACUGCAGUGAGCCAGAAGUUUCUUCUCUCAAACAUAUUCUACACAGAACAACGUAAGCCCAAAUGGUACCCAGACCAAAGAAAACUUUAGCUAAACUUAGAUAUUCUAGGGGUAAAGACACAAGGUGUUUGCUGUGAUACUUCAGGUACUAAAUCAUGGGCUGAAAGACUCCAAAUGUCCAAGGAGGUAGGGGUGCUUGCCAGAUGCCACUCCUGGAUCUGUCUACAGGAGAGCCACUCAGAACUUACUGGGUUACCUAGGUGGGAACAGACCUGCCAACUUUAAGUCAUUAGGAAGAUGAUAAAGACAGGCCAGGCCUGAAUGCAAACAGAUUUCUCUGACUGGGCCUUCAGCCUACAACCAACCAGCAGCCUUGGUCUGCUGCGCCUUAAAUCCAAACCCUUCUCCCUGCUACACAGCUGCCAAGAAGUCACCUUGCUGUCCCACCUUCCCAUCAUUAUCAUUCUCCCUCAUCCACAAAAUACUGCAGCCUGAUGAGAACAUUUCAGAGCGAGAUGAUGGAAUUAUGCACUUACUGAUAUAUCUUCUCAAAACAUUUUCUAUCUGUUUCUGUUGGAAUCUUCCUUUGAUUACAAGUUGAUUAUUACCAUCUAUAGAACCACUAUGAGAGAAAGCAAAAAUAUUUCCAUUAUUGUUUCCUGUAAGGAACCAAAGGACCUUUAUACACUUGAUGAAUUUAAAAUAUAUUCAGUGGCAUAAGUUCUAGAGCAGUCCGAUACCACCUGGUUUCUCAAAAUUUAUUUUUAAGUAGUUGGUGCCUGAUGACCUACCCAUAUUUCCUAACAUUAAAUCCAAUUUCAACCAACCAAGUCUCUAGUAACCUUUAAGUCUAAAACAAAUUGAUUCUGUCUGUGAUGGCUUAUUCAUCCAACAAAAAAAAAACACUUUUACUGAAUGUAUACCAUGUACUAGACAGUGAGGACAGUGAGGGGGUCUAUAAAUAUAAAAAUAGGGAGUUGUAUCUCUAAAAAUUUUAAGCACUAAAUGUUUUGAUUCAGUCACAUAGUUGAUAAAAUAUUCUAAGAUGGGUGGCGGUAAAGGUUGUUCAACUAUGUCAACAUAUUAAAAACCAUUUGUACAUUGAAUGUGUGAACUGUAUAAAGUUACCAAUAAAGAAGUACAGUUGAACUCACA